rnacentral:rRNA from 1 species
CCUACGGGUGGCAGCAGUGAGGAAUAUUGGUCAAUGGGCGCUAGCCUGAACCAGCCAAGUAGCGUGAAGGAUGACUGCCCUAUGGGUUGUAAACUUCUUUUAUAGGGGAAUAAAGUGCAGUAUGUAUACUGCUUUGCAUGUACCUUAUGAAUAAGGAUCGGCUAACUCCGUGCCAGCAGCCGCGGUAAUACGGAGGAUCCGAGCGUUAUCCGGAUUGAUUGGGUUUCAAGGGAGCGUAGGCGGGUUGUUAAGUCAGUUGUGAAAGUUUGCGGCUCACCCGUAAAAUUGCAGUUGAUACUUGCAUCCUUGCGUACAGUAGCGGUCGGCGCAAUUCGUUGUGUAGCGGUGACAUGCUUCGAUAUCACG